rnacentral:lncRNA from 1 species
AACUUCGCUGCGUUUUGGAUCGCUCUUUUCCUUCAGUGGUAAUAGAGCCACUUACGAAACCAUGCAUCUGAUAACUAUUUAUUUUCUGUAUUCUCUGUAUUAAUAUGAUUAAAAUACAUAAUAAAUCAAAGAAUAAAUGAGUAAUUAAAUUUGACAUCAUGUGUGUACGAUUUGGAUGAUUGAUGUUGACUAUGCUUCGGAAUCCGAUGUUAG